GACGAACGCUGGCGGCGUGCUUAACACAUGCAAGUCGAACGAAGAGCGAUGGAAGCUUGCUUCUAUCAAUCUUAGUGGCGACCGGGUGAGUAACGCGUAAUCAACCUGCCCUUCAGAGGGGGACAACAGUUGGAAACGACUGCUAAUACCGCAUACGAUCUAACCUCGGCAUCGAGGAUAGAUGAAAGGUGGCCUCUACAUGUAAGCUAUCACUGAAGGAGGGGAUUGCGUCUGAUUAGCUAGUUGGAGGGGUAACGGCCCACCAAGGCGAUGAUCAGUAGCCGGUCUGAGAGGAUGAACGGCCACAUUGGGACUGAGACACGGCCCAGACUCCUACGGGAGGCAGCAGUGGGGAAUCUUCCGCAAUGGACGAAAGUCUGACGGAGCAACGCCGCGUGAGUGAUGACGGCCUUCGGGUUGUAAAGCUCGGUUAAUCGGGACGAAAGGCCUUCUUGCGAAUAGUGAGAAGGAUUGACGGUACCGGAAUAGAAAGCCACGGCUAACUACGUG
rnacentral:rRNA from 1 species